GGGCUAUUAGCUCAGUGGGUAGAGCGCGCCCCUGAUAAUUGCGCCUAACAACGCAUCUUCACAGACCAAGAACUACGA
rnacentral:tRNA from 1 species